UGAGCAACCUGCCCUUAGCUCUGGGAUAACCCCGGGAAACCGGGGCUAAUACCGGAUACGAGUCCGAGCGGCAUCACGCGGACUGGAAAGUUUUUCGGCUAAGGAUGGGCUCGCGGCCUAUCAGCUUGUUGGUGGGGUAAUGGCCUACCAAGGCGACGACGGGUAGCUGGUCCGAGAGGAUGACCAGCCAUAUUGGGACUGAGACACGGCCCAGACCUCCCGACGGGAGCAGCA
rnacentral:rRNA from 1 species